GGCCUGAUGGUCUAGUGGUACGAUGCUUGCUUCGGGUGGCCAUUUCACCCGCCUUUUAUGAAGGGCGAAGAUGCAAGAGGUCCCGGGUUCAAUUCCCGGUCAGGCCC